rnacentral:misc_RNA from 1 species
AGCAGCCGCGGUAAUUCCAGCUCCAAUAGCGUAUAUUAAAGUUGUUGCAGUUAAAAAGCUCGUAGUUGAAUUUCGGGGUUAGUAGGUUGGUCAUGCCUCUGGUAUGUACUGGUCUCACUGAUUCCUCCUUCCUGAUGAACCUUAAUGCCAUUAAUUUGGUGUUUUGGGGAAUUUGGACUGUUACUUUGAAAAAAUUAGAGUGUUUAAAGCAAGCUAACGCUUGAAUACAUUAGCAUGGAAUAAUGAAAUAGGACGUUCGAUCCUAUUUUGUUGGUUUCUAGGAUUGACGUAAUGAUUAAUAGGGAUAGUUGGGGGCAUUAGUAUUCAAUUGUCAGAGGUGAAAUUCUUGGAUUUAUUGAAGACUAACUACUGCGAAAGCAUUUGCCAAGGAUGUUUUCAUUAAUCAAGAACGAAAGUUAGGGGAUCGAAGACGAUCAGAUACCGUCGUAGUCUUAACCAUAAACUAUGCCGACUAGGGAUCGGAUGAUGUUAAUUUUUAAUGUACUCAUUCGGCGCCUUA